AAUAAAUGGAAGAAAAACGUUUGGUGCGUGCGGUGUUGGCACAUUAUUCCCAAAUUCAACAAAAACCAAUCUGGAAAGUUUGAGUGAAAAAAUCGGUGAGGUCGGAACUUCCAGUAGCCACGAAUCUCGACACCGGCGAACCUCCCGUGUGGGUCCGACAGGUCUUGGCUCAUUGUCCCUAAAAUCAAAGAAAACGGUGGGGGUUGGCAAGCAUUCCAAAUCGAACCAUUUGCGAACUACAUCGAUUUUGACCGCUACAGAUUAGAACACCGAAGUCGUCAUCUUGCCAGAAUGGGAGGAAAGAAUUUCGAAAUUUGUCAUAGUUGCAAAUCGAAGGAAAACUAUUCAAAUGCUGUAGUCAGAAAUGCAGUUUUUGGGAGUGCGUUGGAAAAGGAGAAUAAAGUGGUGAAUCAAGUGCUGUCGAUAGCAAGGCAAAUCCUACAUCAGAAGAAUCAGUGUCAGAUUUGUCGCGCAUGUUUCAAUAUCAAAUUCAUCUCCCUGACGAAGAAGAGGUCCAGAUUUCGAUGAACAUGAACAUGACAAUUCGCAAGGGCAAAGUAACCGUGGAGAAGAAUGAGAAAUGAAAGUGGCCGGUUGCAUUAGUAGCCCCAUUUUUUAAUAAACGUUGAUGUUAUGUAUAUUUGCAUUUCUUGUUCAGAUGGCACUUCAAUAGCUGAUUUCUACCCUGUUCUGUAGCCUUUUCGAGUAGCACUUCAAUCACACUUCAUGUAGUUGUUGUUAAUGACGUAUUUUUUAACUAUUUGUUUCACUUAAGUU